rnacentral:lncRNA from 1 species
GACACUUAGCUCUGAGACAUUUUGAAAAUGUAAGCUGUACUCUAAUUUUUGUUGUUUAACUUUUCAGGAUCUCGGCAGUGUUAAACCCUGGGGAACUGGGACAUAUACAUACAGCCCAAGAAACAUGACAGAACAAGUAAGAAAGGAGGAAAGAAGGAAAAGGGAGGAAAAAGGACAAGAAGAGAAUAUAGAAAAGAAUACAGGAAAAAAGCACCAGAAAAAUAAAUAAAUAAAUAAAUAAAUGGGAAGAACAGAACAGAGAAGAAAACAAUGAGACAAGAGGGAGAAAAAGAAAGAAAAAAAAAAAAAGAAGAAGAAAAAGAAGAAGAAGAAGAAGAAGAAGGAAAGAAACUUGGAAAAAGACAAUUCCAGUAUACUUUCUGAAAGGAUCUUCAGUAAAAGACUAAUAAUCCAUAUGCUGCAACAGUACUGUCAGUCAGAGGAAGAAGGCUCUGAAAUGAAGUGGGAAGCUACACACAUCAGGACCACCAACGAGAAAGGUGAAGACAGCCCUGAAGCACACACAUCCAACAGAAUGACCGUGAUAUGGACUACAGUUCUUCACUCUGACAGCAUCAGAAGAAAGAAGAAACUGUGAUGAAUUCACCCUGUGUCCUCUACCACCUACCCCCUUUAACCCCUGCCUUAUAUCCUCAUCCUGCACCUCUGGAAGCUCAUUUGUUAGUGCAGUGCCAUGGGUUCUCUUAAUGACUCAACUCAGGGUGCUGGUUGGAGGCUGCUGGGUGCUCCCUCCAUAUAAUAUGUGUCCUAGCCCAGGCUGAGGGGGCAAAUCUGCUCCCUCUAGACUCUGUAUCCAUGUGAGCAGAAUGUCAAAACAUUUGUUGAAAAAGUUUGUGAAGAAUUGCUGCUGAGUUAUUCAGAGCAGGCUACUGAUGAUAAGACCAUGAAUGGGAACAAAAUACCUCACUGGCACAGCACAAGAAUUAAUCAUCUUGAAUCAUAAUAAUUUGUCAUAGGAAAAGAAAAAAACAAAACACUGAGAUUCAAAGGCAGUUUUACAGGAGUGCUUAUCCUGACAGAAGUGGCACGUGGAGCUGUGGGUAUUAUAGCAAGCAGCAUGGGAGGUGCCAGCCUAUGGGAAAUGUGCACACAACUAUCAGAAGGGCAUGCACUAAAAAGUAAAACAUUCAGAUGAACUUUCCAGCCAAACAUAGGCAGUAUUGUAGCUGAUGGCAAGUGUUUACCUGGCAGGAAAGCAGUAUGUGCUACUUGACGUUGGACAGUGAUGCACAAACCAAUGCAGUACAACA